rnacentral:lncRNA from 1 species
GAUGUCUUUUAAAGACCACCACUCCAGCGAACCAUGAAAAGGGCUUGCUAAUGGACAUGAUAUUAUUCGAUUUCUGGGUUUGUCUCCCUCAACCCCGUGUCAACAAUGACCAGAGGCUGGAUGAACAGAAGAAUUAAUUUCUGACAGUCAGUCCCACUUUCUCCUGUAAUGUAAUAUUUUACUGUAUUGGGGUUUUUGGCCCCUCAGGGGAAUAGUUUCAAUAAGAAAACAUUGACAUUUCAGAAAAGAGUUAUUCUUUCUUUUUAUUUGAC